AGAGCGAACGCUGGCGGCGUGCUUAACACAUGCAAGUCGAGUGCGCGCCUGUAGCAAUACAGGUGGCGCACGGCGCACGGGUGCGUAACACGUGGGUAAUCUGCCCUUCGAUGGGGAAUAACUUCGGGAAACCGAAGCUAAUUCCGCAUAAUAUUCCGAGAACCUUGGUUUUUGGAUUCAAAGGCGUAAGUCGUCGGAGGAGGAGCCCGCGCACGAUUAGCUAGUUGGUGAGGUAAUGGCUCACCAAGGCUAUGAUCGUUAGCUGGU
rnacentral:rRNA from 1 species